rnacentral:lncRNA from 1 species
AAGAACCUUAGCAGUUCAAACUCUGGUAAGUGAUGGAGUCAGUGCUUGAAUCCAGGUCCAUUUGACACCCAUGUCCACACUCUUGACCACGUGCUGUUUUCAGGCGUUUGAUGCUGAGUCACUUCAUGUCCUUUUGCUCUCUCUUUCUCUUCUCCUCUGCCAUGAUGACUUUGGAGACCACAAAUUGCAAAUGAUGUUAGCUACAAGAUGGAGAAGAGCUGCUGACCUGCUGAGGACUACGGCUUGAAUGAGUGUGGCAGCUAGUCUUCAAAGACAGCCCCAGUAAAUCACACCUCCUACUAUUCAUACCUGUUUUGGUCUUUUUGGGGUGCUAUAACAAAAUAUCAUGGACUGGGUGGCUUAUAAGCAGCACAUAGUUAUUUCUCACAGUUCUGGAGGCUGGGAAGUCCAAGAUCAAGGCUCUGACAGAUCCAGUGUUUGGUGAGAGAUUCCUGGUUCAUAGAAGGCUGUCUUUUCACUGUGUCCUCACAUGGUAGAAGGAGCAAGGGAGCUCUAUGGGGUCCCUUUUAUAAGGGCACUAAUCUCAUCCAUGACGGCUCCACCCUCAUGACCUAAUCACCUCU